CCCAGACUCCUACGGGAGGCAGCAGUGGGGAAUAUUGCACAAUGGGGGGAACCCUGAUGCAGCGACGCCGCGUGGGCGAGGAAGUAUUUCGGUAUGUAAAGCCCUAUCGGCAGGGAAGAAGAAAUGACGGUACCUGAAUAAGAAGCACCGGCUAAAUACGUGCCAGCAGCCGCGGUAAUACGUAUGGUGCAAGCGUUAUCCGGAUUUAUUGGGUUUAAAGGGUGCGUAGGCUGUGAGGUAAGUCAGCGGUGAAAUGCCCCCGCUCAACGGGGUGAAGUGCCAUUGAUACUGCCUUGCUGGAAUGCGGAUGCCGUGGGAGGAAUGUGUGGUGUAGCGGUGAAAUGCAUAGAUAUCACACAGAACACCGAUUGCGAAGGCAUCUCACGAAUCCGCGAUUGACGCUGAUGCACGAAAGCGUGGGUAUCAAACAGGAUUAGAUACCCCGGUAAA
rnacentral:rRNA from 1 species